CUUCUGUCGGAUUAAAGAAGAAUUUAGGGAGUCAGGAUGUUAUUUCAAGAGAGAGAAGACUUGCUAAAGGGCUGGGAGGUUAUGGGAAUGUUGUGCCAAGACUAUUUUUCAGAGUCAGUUUUGAAGACAUGGCUUGUAAUGCUGCUCAGGAUAGACCCAGGCGUAGCUGAGAAGCUACCCCCCGUCUGGUUUUGUGUCGGAAGAGCCCUCAGGCUUUGGGGUCCUCAUCCACGUACAAGAAUGUGCUGCCACAAUGUAAGUAAUAAAGACAUAGAUCA